rnacentral:lncRNA from 1 species
AUGGGAUCUAAGACAUUCCUAUGUGACUGUGACUGUACCAGCAGCUUUAUAGCAUGCAUCCCUGCCUUUUAACCCUGUGAUGCACUGCCCGGUGAAGCACUUCAUUGUCUCCAAAGCACGUAUACAUGCAUUUUUAAAUUAACAAGAUGUUAGAAAUAUCUUCCCCACAAUUUCUGGGUUCCGGAUGGAGCAGUUGUAUCUUUAAUGUUCUGCUGUGAGCUGAGACAAGAAAGAGAUCAGGUAUCAGCUUGAGGGAGAAAGGGUGUGUUUGGAGUAAGACAGUAUGCUGGACGUGAGUCACACCCAUUAGCUGCUCUACAGCCUGCAAGUCAGUGGGACAGGCUGGUCUCGGUGGUGGGUGACUGCUAUAAAGACUUGGUUACUCUGUGUGCCUUGUGUGCUGCUCUAAGGAUCAUGGGUUCUUUGAUUGAGUACGAGUGCUCAUCAGCGUGACUCACUACUCUGAAAGGACACAGUGCAUGGAAAAGCAUGAUCCUUGCUAGAGUCCUGGCUGUCCUUAGUCCAGCUUUGCUGAAAAAGCCACUCCCACAAGGCCAGUUGAUUCUGUUUCUUGUAACUGGUACAAGUGUAGCCCAUAUUUAGGCCAUGGUCUAUUUUGAGCUAAUUUUGGGUAUGGUAUAAGGUAGAAUCCCAAAUCCACUCUUUUGCAUUGUUUUAUCAUUUGAUAAAACACACUGUCCUUUCACCUAAAUUGCCUGACACUUGAUCAGCUGAAUAUAAAAGUCAAGAUUGACUUUUGGAAACAGUUACUAAUGAGGUCACUCAGUGUUCGUUUUCCGUGUGGUACUGAGGACGUGGUUAUUGCAUGUCAGGUAACAGCUGUCUAGGAAACUACGUUCGCUACUCUAGCAGCAACACAGAGGUGGGGUCAGGCCAGGAUGCACCUGCUUCUGAAGCAGCUUUUGCUUAGUCUGCGAUCCUUGCUGUGGGUGGAUAGCUGUUAUUUCUUCUCCUUGCCAGCAGUUCUUGCCACACCUCUGCCUGGGAUGCCGUCCAGGGUCACCUCCGGCUCAGGCUUUGCUCAGUGCAUCUGGCCCCCAGCUGCUCCUUCCUGUACAGUGUCGUCUCCUCUUACACUGCUUUGUAUGGGUAUUGCAUGAUCUCAGGAAGCUCUCUGCGUUCAUUCAGUGGAUUUGGGGUAUAGGGAAAUUAGGAAUAAGUAGUCCCCUGUUUAUGAGUGAGGCCAUCUAACUUUAUUCUGACUUUGUCAGACUUAUUGAUUCUGAGGAUCAGCAUCUAUUAAUAAUUCUACAAAGGUCCCUAUAGACAUUCCAUUCCCUUUUUCCUGUUGGAUCUUGAUUAGCUACCGGUCUUGUUUUGUUCUUCCUGGCUCUUAAAUGUCUUUUGCUUUGUGUUGUAUUCUGCAUUCUUUAAUAGAGACAUUUUUCAGCCAAUGAAUUUGUCUUCAGCUAUAUUCAAACAGCUAUUUGUCUGUUUGGUUGUUUAGUACAUAUCAGGUAGUCUUAAUAUUUGUAAUGGAAAAAAAGACAAAGUCCAGGAGGAAAUACUUGAGACUCAUAUGCUUGACAAUUAACCUAUGCUAAUUACUUAUCACUAAAGAUAAAGAACUCUGAAAACUCAGUAAGUUUUAUUCGUGUUUUUAUUUAAAAUUUUUUAUACAUUUUUAUCAUGUAUUUCUCCUCCCCAGCUCCUCCCAGAUCCUACCCACCUAACUUUGUAUUCUCUCUCUUAAACCUCUCUCUUAACAAAUGGGGGAAAAACCCACAAAACAAACAAAAAAUAAUAAGACAAAAAUGCCAAAGUGCAACAUAAAGUUCACC